rnacentral:sRNA from 1 species
GUGCCAUCUAUAUAUCUGGCUGCUUAAAUGAGUUAAUAUGACCAUUAUACACACUUCCAUUUGGGAGAUGUGUUUCAAAAAACCUCAGUGUAGAUACAGACUCGUAUUUUCUCUCCAGCCCCCCUUUCUUCUCCAUCUUCUGCCCCAAGGGCUUCCUGAGAUUUAAGUGGUCCAUUCCAGACUAAAAGCCAACACAAAGAAAUUAUUCAGCUUUCACAUUAAAAUGCUAGUCAGACAAUUUCCCCAAGACUUUAGCCUGAGAAAACACUGGUUCAUCCUGACUGGGUAAAGCUUAUCCAAACUGUACUGUCUGCUGCUGUAAGCUGACCCAGGGAUGAGUGAUGGAGUCUGUGAUGUUGGACUGCCCAGAGGCAGUGUCUCUCCUUCAAGCUGCUGAAGUGUUUUUUUACUAACAUUUCUGAGCUGUGCUUUGGUCUACUCCAAACUUGCUGGCCUUUCUCCAAAAGGAAAGUCUUUAUCACUUAUUCGAUGGACACAGCUAUGGAGGUGGUGAAAUUCGUGAACUUUUUGUUGGUAAAUGGCUUCCAAACUGCAAUUGACAUAUUUGAGGAUAGAAUCCGAGGCAUUGAUAUCAUUAAAUGGAUGGAGCGCUACCUUAGGGAUAAGACCGUGAUGAUAAUCGUAGCAAUCAGCCCCAAAUACAAACAGGAUGUGGAAGGCGCUGAGUCGCAGCUGGACGAGGAUGAGCAUGGCUUACAUACUAAGUACAUUCAUCGAAUGAUGCAGAUUGAGUUCAUAAAACAAGGAAGCAUGAAUUUCAGAUUCAUCCCUGUGCUCUUCCCAAAUGCUAAGAAGGAGCAUGUGCCCACCUGGCUUCAGAACACUCAUGUCUACAGCUGGCCCAAGAAUAAAAAAAACAUCCUGCUGCGGCUGCUGAGAGAGGAAGAGUAUGUGGCUCCUCCACGGGGGCCUCUGCCCACCCUUCAGGUGGUUCCCUUGUGACACCGUUCAUCCCCAGAUCACUGAGGCCAGGCCAUGUUUGGGGCCCUGUUCUGACAGCAUUCUAGCUGAGGCUGGUCGGUAGCACUCCUGGCUGGUUUUUUUCUGUUCCUCCCCGAGAGGCCCUCUGGCCCCCAGGAAACCUGUUGUGCAGAGCUCUUCCCCAGAGACCUCCACACACCCUGGCUUUGAAGUGGAGUCUGUGACUGCUCUGCAUUCUCUGCUUUUAAAAAAACCAUUGCAGGUGCCAGUGUCCCAUAUGUUCCUCCUGACAGUUUGAUGUGUCCAUUCUGGGCCUCUCAGUGCUUAGCAAGUAGAUAAUGUAAGGGAUGUGGCAGCAAAUGGAAAUGACUACAAACACUCUCCUAUCAAUCACUUCAGGCUACUUUUAUGAGUUAGCCAGAUGCUUGUGUAUCCUCAGACCAAACUGAUUCAUGUACAAAUAAU